rnacentral:rRNA from 1 species
GUGUCAGCCGCCGCGGUAAUACGAAGGGGGCUAGCGUUGUUCGGAAUUACUGGGCGUAAAGCGUGCGCAGGCGGCUUCUCAAGUCAGUGGUGAAAGCCCGGAGCUCAACUCCGGAAUUGCCAUUGAAACUGUGGAGCUUGAGGACGAGAGAGGUGAGUGGAAUUCCCAGUGUAGAGGUGAAAUUCGUAGAUAUUGGGAAGAACACCGGUGGCGAAGGCGGCUCACUGGCUCGUUUCUGACGCUCAGGCACGAUAGCGUGGGGAUCAAACAGGAUUAGAUACCCUGGUAGUCC